rnacentral:tRNA from 1 species
GUCCAGGGGCGGGAAUCGAACCCACACCCUUCUGCUUACCGGGCAGGUGCAUUGUCCACUCGGCUACCCUGGA